AGGGGACGAGGCGGUCAUCAGAGGUCCUGAGGUCCAUCCAGUUGCGGAGACGCGGAAACGGAGAGAAACCGGCUGCGAAGGGGAAAGCGCUCUGUUCCCACCGCCCGGGAGCAACCCCGCGCGUGUGUGAACCACGCGGGCUGAGGGCUCAGCUCCUGGAGAGAAGGUGGAAAGUCCUGGGGCUGUGCGCGCCGCCCAGACAACAAGGACACCGGUCCCGGGCUCCGGAAGCCGCAAACUCCGCCCCAGCUAAAGGCCUCGGCGGCGCCCGGGGUGAUCAAGGCUGGCUAGGCCGGCGCUGGUGCCAGUGGCCGGGAGGGGUUUACCUGACGGUCUCCUGAAGCUGACGACGCCCGGACAUCGUCCUGCAGAAGAGCAGCUUCUAUUUGAAAAGCGAGAGGCCAGAGAGAAAGCUUGACACUGACAAUUGCAAAAACGCUUUAAAAAAAUGAAGACAGUGCUGGUGAGCAUCAGGAAGAAGAAAAUGAGCAGAAUAAUAAACAACAUUUAAGAAUGAAUGCAGCCAGGAUCAUAUUCACCUUUAUACCAAGGCAGUCAUAAGUUAAAUUCAUGUAUUAUUAUUUUAAGUGAAAGGUGUCCACAAGAACGAAAUUGCUUAGGACCCGUGAAAGUCACACUGCAGCCCUGGAUCAGGAGACAAUUAGCCACAGUUCCCAACUCCUGCGAAACCGCUGAACCAGCAUUCCGAGGUUUCCCGGGCAGUCCUGACGGAGGCUGGGGAAGAGUCCAAAGUAAAAGUUCUUGACCGCCUGAAGAUACUGAGCGUGGACUUCACCUACAUUAGCCCAGUUUAAUUUUCAUGGCGAAAGAAUAAAACAGAUAUAUGCUUGCAUAUUAAGAUGCCUUCAAUCUCUGGGUCUCCAUGAGCCGGGCCUGCCAAAGGCUGACACACACUCACGGCUCCAGCCUCAGCACUCAGGCGAUCCAUGCGUAUUUGUUACCUGAAUACUGAAAUGAAGAAACGUUUCUACCGGACUUUGAAGAAUGAAGGAUUUUGAUGGGCUAGAGCAGAAGUGAUCAUCCUAGAAAGAAGGAGAGGCUCAGAGGAAGAGAAGUCCUUGGAGAGAGAGUUCAGCAGAGCCUGGCUCUGAUUGAAGAAAGAAGGGCAGGAACCCAGUGUUAGUGUCUCAGAGUUGGGGACUUCCAAGAAACUGAGGCACCUUGAAGAUCCUCUCUUCAAACCCUGAUUCUUGCGAUCAAGUCAGGAAGAUUUCAGCCACAUUAGACAUAUCAGAGUAAGAGGAAUGAAUUUAUUGAAGAGACAGGGAAAAGGGACACUCUCAAGGGAGAGUGGGUCCUUUCAGAAAGGAGAGGACAAUGUGCUUCUCCUACACUCCAGUUUUAUUGGGGAUUUCAGAGAAGUUUCCAGAAAGUCCUGCCCAGAUCCACCUCUAGACUUUUGACUGACUGCAUGAUGACAUCAGAGUUUCAAGUCCCCAGUGUCAUGGCAACUCUAGGUCACCUUGGCCCAUGCUGACUGGUUCUAAUAGGAUUCUUAGCCAUCCAUUCUCACAGAUUUUAUGGUUAGGAGGAAUUACCCUUAGCUUCCAGAGUUUCAGGAUCUGGUCACAAAAGUCUCCUCCUUCAUCAUAACUUGGUUUCCUCUUAUCAACAUUAUUUCAGGUCUAUUUCUUCUGCAGUGAACAGGUAGUCUGCUGAGGAAUGUGACAUAUCCUGUCCACCAGGCCAGGCAGGACUGCAGGUAGUUUCCUUCUUGGAAAAGAAAUCAUGUGGGGGUCAGCAGCGUGGGCCCAUUUUAUAGAAUUAUUCUCUUAACCUCAUGUUGCUAUAGCAGUGAUCCACAUCACUUUCGAAUAUAACUCUGAGGCUUAUUAUUAUUUUUUUAAAUUUUUUCUUUAGUUGUUGAUGGUGAAGGGUUAUGG